GUUGAUCUUACGUGGUUUGUCUCCAGUCGAUUUUAAGGUUUUGCCUUGAUCCUAGUGUUUCUUGCUCUCUCCGAUUAGUUGGUGAGGUGUGUUGGUAGUUGUAUUUGGUUUUUGGUCGCGUUGGAUUCUUGCUUUCCUCCCUGUCGGUUUGCUAUUGGUUUGUCGUCGGUUUAUUGUGAGAAAAAACAAAGAAACAGUGAUUAUUUUGACGGAGAUCGAGAGAGAGUUAGGAGAAAUAUUAAAAACAAUCGGAG